UUACAGGUGGAAGUCCUGCCAUGGAAAGAACCAGAUCGCCAUGUAGCCAGUCCCCAGUGUCCUGACGCGAGUUGGGAUGCUGAAGCGGGAUACUGGCAAGAUAGCAGCCCGUAACAUAA
rfam:Candidatus Raymondbacteria bacterium RIFOXYD12_FTLL_49_13 rifoxyd3_full_scaffold_2999, whole genome shotgun sequence.